rnacentral:rRNA from 1 species
CGGACGGGUGAGUAACGUGUGGGCAACCUGCCCUGCACUGGGGAAUAAUCAUUGGAAACGAUGACUAAUACCGCAUACGGUUCCUGGGAGGCAUCUUCUGGGAAAGAAAGGAUUUAUUCGGUGCAGGAUGGGCCCGCAUCUGAUUAGCUAGUUGGUGAGAUAACAGCCCACCAAGGCGACGAUCAGUAGCCGACCUGAGAGGGUGACCGGCCACAUUGGGACUGAGACACGGCCCAAACUCCUACGGAAGGCAGCAG